GGGCACGUGAUGAGAUCGUUUAUUCGGACCGUUAGGCGAAGCGAGUACCGAGAAUAGCGGCGAGAAUACCUUCAGGACGAGCAUCGCCGGCGGUGGACGAGGUGCACAGCAGCGAUCGAGGCGCAAUCGAAGGACGAAAGGUUAUUAAAGGGGAAAUGCGCACAAACUGUCGUCCAUCGGCGUGUGAAUAAUCAGGAAGGUUCGCAUCUCCAUCUUGAGCGGUUCAUCGGUGAUAUUUGUAAGGAUGAGCGAGACGGAGCGUCCGCUAAAACAGAUCGUCGACUCCACCAUUGUCCGGCAAGCCUCACUCGAGUCUGUGGUGAAGCGCGCACAACAAGCACAUCAUGGGCUUUGUGAUGCAGGUAAAAGUCAGGUGAGCACUUCCUCCCAAUUGAACGAUCUCAGGAUCAUGGUGCUGGACGACGAACCGGCGGAGCUGCAUGAGAUGACCACGGUGCGUCGUCUCAACAUGGAGGGAAAGCCGUUUGAGGAGAAUGGGCUCAUGGAAAGUCCUGGCUGUUGUCAGGACACCAGAGAGAACCGAGUAGCUUCGUUUAAUGGCAUCUCUGAUCUCAGCAAGCUGGGAAGCAUCCGCCAACCAGAGGGCAGUUCGCAUUCCCAGCAUCAGCAGAUGUUUGGGAAGUUGUUUCAGGGUGCAGAUUCUAACAACCCCUUGUUGCACUUGGCUUAUGCAUCUUGUGAAUGCCCAGUGGAGGUUCCUGCCAUCUCUGGUGCUCAUGUACAGAAUCCAUCCUCCACCAAACACAUGAGUGAAUUGAUGAGACCUUUAAACCUGAAGACCAAUGCUGUUGGACAACUACAGUCACAUUCACUACCUGUGGACUAUCAGCCCAUGACAUCAUUUUAUAACAUCAAGGACUCAUCAUCCAUGAAGAUUUGGAAAGACUUAGAAGGUAUGGACAUGCAGAUUCAGGCAUCGAAGUACCCAAAACACUCCCAGGAAAGGUUUGGCACAGGCCCAUCAAUGCGGAAACGUCUGGGUGACAUCACCAACACAAAUAUACAGCUGUUGUCGCAUACAGACUUGGCACAAGGCUUGGGUACAGAGAGUCAAAACUUCCGUUAUCAUGGGGAAAGGGGGAAUGAGAGGAGAGAACGACAUAAUCAAUUGGAAAGAGAAAGGAGAGACAGACAAGGCGACAACUCUACAAUGGACCACCGACUUCCUCAUGUACAUUCAAGAGAAGUACGGAGAAGACAUCAAGAAGGGAUUUGAAAACAUGUUUCAAAACAAGACUGCAGAACAAUCCAGUGUUAUGCUCAAGAAGGCUUGGGAAACGAAGCUCAAGAACCCUGCAACAUGAAGAUUCACUUUAUAACUCCAUGAAAUAUCGUUUGGUUGUUCAUUUAUAUGUUUGUGCCGCCAAUUUCCUUGUGUUUGUAUUUCUUUGAAAAGGUGAAACAUCCUUUAAUUCAGCGUCAUUAUUGUUUAUUUGUUGAACUUUAAUGCAUGUCACACACCAAUUAAUUAUUUCAAAGUAAAUAUUAAUUAAAUUGUCUUAUUGUUUGCAAUGUUUUCGGGGUUUUAUGUGCUCGUAGAAAAGCACGGAUGAACAUGUUUCCCCAUGUGUGCUUUUGUUUGACUUGUUUGCGUUGGAGCUAUUUUGUCACAGCAAUGCAUGGGGAUGCUCACUGUUCACACGUAGCUCACUGUGAACAUCCUUUCAUUGUGAAAUGCAGGAAUCACUCAUUGUACCUGGUGGUAUGAGAAACCUGUAUGCUGGAAACAGGAGUGCAAGAAACUACGUGAUUUCUCUUGAUGACAAAACAUGUAAAGAAAUGUAGAAGUCUUGUUAUCAGAGAAGAAUUAUAUGAGAAAUUUUAAAAUGUCGUUGUUACUGAAGGUGUGUGUAGGUAGUGUGUGUGUGUGCGUGUGACAUGUGUCAGACUUGUUAACAAAAACUGUCCAAGAAGAGAGAAGAUAGUCAUGCUACGUUUUAAUUUGUGGGUCGUGCAGUGAUGAUAGAGCAAUGAUGGCAACAUGUACUUGUGUUUUGACUCUACUCACCAAAAAAUAAAUCGGUUUUAUCGCACUCUAUAUGUAUGGCGUAUGCACACUCUGAAUCAAACAAUGACCUCUCGACAGCACUUGCAAGUGGAAACUGUCCAUGCAAAUGUUCUUCUUCUUAUCUUAGACCCACACUCUUGAACAGAGCAUUGGAACUGCCAAAGCAGUUUUUCAUUGGCUAUUUGGCAUAUUCUUGGACAGGUCACCACUCCAACCAUUUCUUGGAGCACAGCUGUGCCACUGAUGCUGUGACCUUCUACCAGUACACACUGGUACUCAUUUCAUCAACCUCAGGAGGAUGGCUGAG
ensembl:lincRNA